GUGAAUCAUCGAAUUUUUGAACGCAAAUUGCACUUUCUGGUAUUCCGGAGAGCAUGCCUGUUUGAGGGUCAGUUAUAUCAUCAUCGUUGUUAUUGCUAUUAAUGUUGUUGCACUGGAAUUGAGUCGUCUUUACCUUUGGUUUUAAGUGACUUAAAAUUAUGUACGAUUUCUGAACGACUUUACAUUCUUUACUUACGCUCAUGAUAUCAC
rnacentral:misc_RNA from 1 species